rnacentral:tmRNA from 1 species
GGGGGCGACUGGUUUCGACAUGGGUGGUCUGAGGUGAGGAGCAGGUCGUGGUCUCCUCGCCACGUUAAACAGGGGUACUGUCAAAAUUAAUUGGCAAAAACGUUUCUUCUGGGCGUCAACUCGCCCUCGCCGCAUAACAUAAGUCGGCGCGUCAAUCUCAGGUGUUUUCCCGCCCUGGGUGCGAUGUCAUCUUAGGGAAACGCUCUUCGGCACGUAGUCGGUAUGGCCGAAGCUAAGAUCGAACCGGCUCGGGGCCGCAACGCCCGUCGUUGCGCCAAGCGGUCCCUAAACGAGAGCAGCGGAUAAGCUUGUAGAGCCUGAACAGGGAUCAUCUAUGGACCGGAGUUCGAUUCUCCGCGCCUCCACCA